GAUGAAGAACGUAGCGAAAUGCGAUAAGUAAUGUGAAUUGCAGAAUUCAGUGAAUCAUCGAAUCUUUGAACGCACAUUGCGCCCCUUGGUAUUCCGAGGGGCAUGCCUGUUCGAGCGUCAUUAUAACCCCUCAAGCUCAGCUUGGUGUUGGGGCCUGCUGCACUGGCAGCCCUUAAAAUCAGUGGCGGCGCCAUCUGGCUCUAAGCGUAGUAAUUCUUCUCGCUAUGGAGUCCUGGUGGAUGCUUGCCAUCAACCCCCAAUUUUUCUAUGGUUGACCUCGGAUCAGGUAGGGAUACCCGCUGAACUUAAGCAUAUCAAUAAGCCGGAGGA
rnacentral:misc_RNA from 1 species